ACGGGAGGCAGCAGUGGGGAAUAUUGCACAAUGGGGGAAACCCUGAUGCAGCGACGCCGCGUGGAGGAAGAAGGUCUUCGGAUUGUAAACUCCUGUUGUUGAGGAAGAUAAUGACGGUACUCAACAAGGAAGUGACGGCUAACUACGUGCCAGCAGCCGCGGUAAAACGUAGGUCACAAGCGUUGUCCGGAAUUACUGGGUGUAAAGGGAGCGCAGGCGGGAAGGCAAGUUGGAAGUGAAAUCCAUGGGCUCAACCCAUGAACUGCUUUCAAAACUGUUUUUCUUGAGUAGUGCAGAGGUAGGCGGAAUUCCCGGUGUAGCGGUGGAAUGCGUAGAUAUCGGGAGGAACACCAGUGGCGAAGGCGGCCUACUGGGCACCAACUGACGCUGAGGCUCGAAAGUGUGGGUAGCAAACAGGAUUAGAUACCCUGGUA
rnacentral:rRNA from 1 species